rnacentral:rRNA from 1 species
UGAUCAUUAUACGCGUGUGUGAAGAAGGCCUGAGGGUUGUAAAGCACUUUCAAUAGGAAGGAAUACCUAUCGGUUAAUACCCGGUAGACUGACAUUACCUAUACAAGAAGCACCGGCUAACUCCGUGCCAGCAGCCGCGGUAAUACGGAGGGUGCAAGCGUUAAUCGGAAUUACUGGGCGUAAAGCGUGCGUAGGCGGUUAUUUAAGUCAGAUGUGAAAGCCCUGAGCUUAACCUGGGAACUGCAUUUGAUACUGGAUGACUAGAGUUGAGUAGAGGAGAGUGGAAUAUCAGGUGUAGCGGUGAAAUGCGUAGAGAUCUGAAGGAACACCAGUGGCGAAGGCGGCUCUCUGGACUCAAACUGACGCUGAGGUACGAAAGCGUGGGUAGCAAACAGGAUUAGAUACCCUGGUAGUCCACGCCGUAAACGAUGUCAACUAACCGUAGGGUUCUUUAAGAACUUAGUGGUGGAGCUACCGUAUUAAGUAGACCGACUGAGGAGUACGGNCGAAGGCUAAAACUCAACUU